rnacentral:rRNA from 1 species
UUUACAGGUAAUGGCGAAUGAACAUGAACAAGCUCAGCAUGGGAAUUGGGGCCAUCAGCCUUGAAUUGUUCUUUGGAGAUGAGUGACUAACCACGGUGUGCAUGAAAACUUCUUGAAAAAGAAUUUCGAGGAAGGUGAAAGUCCUGUGUGUCAUGUGCAUGUUGUUGUGCACGGUGCUUUUCAUUGAGUCACGUUCCUUGGGAUUGGAGCGCAAAGCUGGUGGUAGAUUUCAUCUGCAGCUACAUAUGUAUACGAGACCGAUAGCAAACAAGUACCGUGAGGGAAAUAUGAAAAGGACUUUGAAAAGAGGGUUAAAAGUGUUUGAAAUUGCUGGAUAUGAAGCGAAGGAAACAAGUGUGCUUGGCAAGAUUGCUGCAUAUUUGCAGAUAUGUGACAGUGUCAUGAUUUCGCUGUUGCUACAUCAUGCAUGUUUGUGGUGUUUGUUGCCUUGCAUGUCAUCUUGUUCUGUGUAUAAGCAAAAUGUGAAUGGCAUGGUAUUUUGCACUGUGCAGGAGAAUGCUUUCCAUGGUGCAUAUUUACAUUGCAGUCGUCUAUGGUUGUAAAAUCCGACUUUCUCACACAUUAUUGUGUGCUGGAUGGUGGGUGUCUGUCAGUUGAUUGCGAU